CAUGGAGCCCAGAACUCAAGCUUUACUUGUGGUUAUUCACCUCAUACAACUAUGCUAUGGCACACCGAUCCCUUCCAAAGAUACUGUGGAGCCCACUUAUACUGCUGCAUGUUCAGUAACUUCAGAUCCCAAAGCUGUCCACUUCUAUGCUUCAUAUCCAUCUUCAAUUAGUUGCCGCUUGGACCCCAUCCUUUACUCUGAUGUCUCUCUGAAUGAGGGAUGUGCAUACAGCACGGCCACUGGCACUUUCACCGCCCCAGUUAAUGGAAUCUACCAGUUUUCCUUCACAACCCAGAGCGGCAGAGGUGACGACAACAGUGUCUGGUGGCUGUGGGUCAAUGGAGUCCGAAAAGUACAAUGUGGUUCUCAAUUAGCCUUUUAUCACACAGAUGUUACCACAUGCACCUACAUGGCUUUGUUAGUACAGAAUGAUAAGGUCACUGUGAGCCAAGACUCAGGAUAUGCUUGUGCAGAUUUUACCUCCAACACUAUUACCUUCUCUGGUUCCCUCCUGUUGCAGAAGUAGUUCCACAAUGAUCCCAGUCAGAAUCUGAAGGCAGUUAGGACUAUGUGUUAAACUCUGCAGAGAUGCCUAUAUCUGAAUAAAUAAUGAUGACUGAAAC